GCGAGCGUUGUCCGGAAUUAUUGGGCGUAAAGAGCUUGUAGGCGGUCUGUCGCGUCUGCUGUGAAAAUCCGGGGCUCAACCCCGGACUUGCAGUGGGUACGGGCAGACUAGAGUGUGGUAGGGGAGACUGGAAUUCCUGGUGUAGCGGUGAAAUGCGCAGAUAUCAGGAGGAACACCGGUGGCGAAGGCGGGUCUCUGGGCCGAUACUGACGCUGAGGAGCGAAAGCGUGGGGAGCGAACAGG
rnacentral:rRNA from 1 species